GCUAUUUGAAGGAAAAAUAGUAGCACCUGCUCAAUGUUAAAUAGCUGCAGUACCCUGACUGUGCAAAGGUAGCGUAAUCAGUAGCCUUUUAAUUGAUGGCAAGUAUGAAGGGUAGCACUGAGAAGAAAGUCUUACAACUUGAACUUAACCUUAGAGUAAAAAGGCUCUAAUAAAACUUUGGGACGAUAAGACCCUAGGAGCUACGAGUGGCUUUCGGAUGGGGCGUUCAGAGGAGAAAAACAAACUCUUAAAAGUUACCCUAGGGAUAACAGCGCAAUUUCUAAUUGGAGUACUUAUUGAGUUAGAAGUUUGCGACCUCGAUGUUGAAUUAAGAGGUGCAGGAGCUUUAGUCUGUUCGACUAGUAAGACCUUACA
rnacentral:rRNA from 1 species